GCGUCCCCGCAGGCCACUGACCUUAGAGGACUACUUGCCCGAGACUCGUGGGGCUGGAUGGGAAUCGUAGUCUUCCUAGGAGUUGUAGGUAUCUUUUUUUGGCCUAGUCUCUGCUCUCAAGAUAGGAGAACAUAACAACACUCCAAUCCAUUACUGUUGACAUGUAUAAGCCCGCGGAGGUCUCCAAUCUAUCCACUGGAUUUCCGUGAGAAUUGUGCCCGCUUUGGUAUUGGAUGUUCCUCUCCAUAAGACUACAGUUUCCAAGGAACAGUGUGGCCAAGGCCUUUCGUUCCGCAAUGCAUGUUGGAAAUAGUAGUUCUUUCCCUCCACCUCCCAACAAUCCUUUUAUUUACCUAAACUGGAGACCUCCAUUAGGGCGGAAAGAGUGGGGUAAUGGGACCUCUUCUUAAGACUGCUUUGGACACUAUCUUACGCUGAUAUUCAGGCCUCAGGUGGCGAUUCUGACCUUGGUACAGCAAUUACUGUGACGUAAUAAGCCGCAACUGGAAGCGUAGAGGCGAGAGGGCGGGCGCUUUACGGCGAACUCAGCUCUAAAACCAGCUCCAUCACUUGAAAUGGCAAAAUAAAUCAUGAAUGAGGCCGGGGGCUGUGGCUCACACCUGUAAUCCCAGCACUCUGGGGGGCCGAGGCAGGCAGAUCACGAGGUCAGGAGAUCGAGACCAUCCUGGCUAACAUGGUGUAAGGGAGGAGACCACCCCUCAUAUUGUCUUAUGCCCAAUUUCUGCCUCCAAAGAAAGAAAAAGUAAAAACUAAAGGGCAGAAAUGACAUCCACAAGCAGACACCCCAGGUGCCACACCCUGGGCCUGGUAGUUAAAAAUCAACCCCUGACCUGAUUGGUAUGUUAUCUAUAGAUUACAGACAUUGUAUAGAAAAGCACUGUGACAAUGCCUUUCCUGUUUUGUUCCGAUCUAGUUACUGGUGCAUGCAGCCCCCAGUCACGUACCCCCUGCUUGCUCAAUUGAUCACGACCCUCUCACGUGCACCCCCUUAGAGUUGUGAGCCCUUAAAAGGGACAGGAAUUGCUCACUCGGGGAGCUUGGCUCUUGAGACCGGAGUCUUGCCGAUGCCCCUGGCCUAAUAAACCCCUUCCUUCUUUAACUCGGUGUCUGAUAAGUUUUGUCUGCAGCUCGAUUUCUUGGUUCCCUGACUGGGAAGCGAGGUGAAUGGCGGAUGGUCAAGGCAGCUCCUUAGGCGGCUUAAACCUGCCCUGUGGAACAUCCCUGCAGGGGACUCCAACCAGCCCGAGCAACACGGAUCCUGAGGGCGCUCCUGGUUAGGCAUUUGCCCCACUGGGACGCCUCGCCAGAGCACUGUAUGGCAGGCCCCCAUGGAGGAUCAACGCAGUGGCUGAACACCGGGAAGGAACGGGCACUUGGAGUCUGGACAUCUAAAACUUGGUAAGAGUAGUCUUUGAAACUUGCCCACUCCAUUUGAGUGGAAGCAUGGCCUGAUCACCCAUGGCGUGCCUUUAUUGGCACUUUGGUUUUGGUUUGAAUUGCUUGACAGGAUUGGUCUUGGGAACUUGCCUACUCCAUUUGAGUGGAAGUGUGGCCUGAUCACCCAUGGUGUGCCUCUCCUGGCACUUUGGUUUUUAUUUUUGACUUGACUUGGAUUGCUUGAUACUUUGGUUUUGGUUUUGACCUGGCUUGGAUUUCUGGAUACUCUGAUUUUGGUUUGGUGCAAACUGCAAAACUGUGUGUGCGCCCUUUUUACCGGUUCUUUGUUUUGUGGUGUGUUUGUGGUGUGAGCGUGGUGUUUUGUCUUGAAGAAGCAUAGGUCAGGCACGAAUAAGCCCACCCCACUAGGAACUAUGUUGACAAAUUUCAAAAAAGAAUCUGAGGGAGACUAUGGAGUGCUAUGACACCAGGAAAACUUAAAACUUUGUGUAAGAUAGACUGGCCAGCAUUAGAGGUAGGUUGGCCAUUAGAAGGAAGCCUGGACAGGUCCCUUGUUUCAAAGGUAUGGCACAAGGUAACCUAUAAGCCAAGGAACCCAGACCAGUUCCCUUACAGAGACACUUGAUUAGAGCUGGUUUUAGACCCCCCACCCCCAACACAUAGUGGUUGAGAGAACAGCAGCAUAAGUGGCUGGCAGAGGCAAGGAAAGACCAGCAGAGAGAGAGAAAGGAAAGAGACAGAGAGGAAAAGAGGAAAAGAGAGAGAGGAAGAGACAGGAAGAGACAGACAGAGAGUCAAGGAUAGAGAGAGAGAGAGAGAGAGAGACACACACACACACACACACAGAGAGAGAGGAAGAGGCAGAGGCAAAAGGAAAGUCAAAGAGAGAGACAAAGUCAAAGAGAGAAAGAAAGAGAGAAAGAGAGAGAGAUACAAAGUUAAGAAAAAAAAGCCAUCUAUACCAAUUCUAAUUUAGACAAAACAAGGUCUUAUUAAUAGCAAAGGAUAAUUAAAAUCCCAAACUUAGAAGGUUUUCUUUUUAUUAUUAUUAUUAUUAUACUUUAAGUUUUAGGGUACAUGUGCACAACAUGCAUUUUUUUAAAAUUUUUUUUAAAGGUUUUCAACUAAAGUUUGCUAAAAGUUAACAGUGUAACAUGUAUAUAGUAACUUAUAUUCUUGUGGCCUAGUCCACAAGACACAAAAAAGGUUCGCUUUGGAAAAGAAUGGUUAUCAUCUUCGAAAAAAAAAAGGAAAAAAAGGGGGGGCGGAAUUUAUAUAAAAAGAGUAUUAUAUGGUAAAUUCUUGUCCUGAAACAAAUUAACUGGUUGUUUAAAGAAAUAAAUAUUUGUAAUAAGUCAGAAAGUUGAGGCAUAUCGAAGAAUUGUCUGCGAAAGUCACGAAAGAGAAAAAUGUUAUAAAAAAAUUUAUGCAAAAAAUGUUGUAUAAUUUAAAAGUAACUAGGCCUCCUGAAUGUAAAACUGUUGAAAAAAAAAACAGUUUAUAUGCAAGGUGUAUAAGAAAAGUAAAAUAUAUCUUUGGUAAAAGAAUUGUAAGGAGGCAUAAGGAUGUACAUUUUCACCUACAUUAAAAGGUUAAAAAUAAUUAUUGUUUUGAAGAUUUAAGCAAGUUUCAAAAUGUUAAUUGUAAAGAAAAUUCUGUGUGUAAACAUAUUAGCUAAAGUUAAAGAAGUAUCAUCCAGUUUUUCUGUGAACUGGACAUUAAAGUAAAAGCAUAACAGGUUUUUUCUUAAAGCACCAACCUGCUCUUUUGCAAAAAUUAUAAAGGGUUAAAAAGAAUCUAUAAAAUCUUACCUUAUGGUCAAACAUUAACAAUUAGAUACAUAUGUCUACAAGGUUUUAUUAAAAUUAAGUUUAAUAUUAAUAACACACUAAUAUAAAGAUAAAAUUUAGCUUAUCUGGUAUAAAAAUCAUACGAGAAGCACUGUUAAAUGUAAAAUGGUAUUUGGCUUUCUUUGGUUUAAAAACUAAUAAAAAUAGGUGCUAAAGGAAAUUUCUCAGGAAAAAGGCACUAAGGACUAUAAAGUCCACUGCCAAGGUCCCCACAUUUAAAACAAAAGGUCAGUUCCUUAGAAUUAUAUGCUUGGUUUAUUUUCCACUUUCCUUUCUCUCAAAAACUAAAAGUCUUUUAGCACAUGUACCACCCCUAGAAUUUCUAGUAAACCAGCACCAGCCUGAAGAUCACAUUCUCAUCGAAAGGUGGAAAGAAGAAAAACUCGAGCCAGCCUGGAAGGACCCUACCUUGUGUUGCUAACCACCAAGACUGCUGUUCGUACAGCAAAAAAGGAUGGACUCGUCACACCAGAAUCAAGAAAGUGCCACCCCCUCCAGAGUCAUGGGCCACAGUCCCAGAGGAAAACCCUGCCAAACUAAAGCUACGAAAAAUCUCUUUUCAUCUAUUCUAUUACUCUUCUUUCUUUCCUCGUGCUAUUGCUGACCAUCUAGUUAUUAACAUAACCAAGUCAAUUUCACCUCAAACUAUUGCAUUUAAUGCUUGCCUUGUUAUACCCUGUGGGGACUUGCCAAGUCAAAGACAGCUCUCUACUUCAGAAAAGUACUUCUGUCCCUCCUGACUCUCCUCAGACUGGACAUUAGUAAACUAGGACCAUUUAAUCCAGGGAGAUUUCGAUAAAGACCCCAGUGCCAACCAGGAGUCUUGUCCCCUGAUGUAGAGUUUUUAUGCCGUAGUUGGUCCAACGUUCUGUGGACCACUAAAGAGCAAGAAUGGACUGCCCCAACCAGUUUUUGUAAUUUCCUAAAACCAUACAUUCGUUUUACUAGAGGAUCAUAGAAGUUAAAGAGUUAAAACAAACUUUACCAAUGAAGACAGGAUACCAAGAUGCAAAUGCCUGGUUAAAAUGCAUCAAAUAUUCCAUCUGCACGUUAAACAAAAGCAAUUGUUAUGCUUGUGCACAUGGCAGGCCAGAGGCCCAGAUUGUCCCCUUUCCACUAAGGUGGUCCUCCAGUCGACCAGAUGUGGGCUGCCUGGUAGCUCUUUUCCAGGAUUCUACAGCCUGUAUUAAUAAGUCAUGCCAAGCUCUCUCUGCUAUAUCCCAAAGUCCAGCACCCUGCGGGUCAGCCCCCGAGGGCCAUCCAUCCUCCAUCUCCCAACACUAAGUUCACUUCAUGUCUCUCACAACAGGGAGGAAACUUAGCGUUCCUUGGAGACCUGAAAGGAUGCAGUUAGCUUAAGAAUUUUCAAGAGCUUAUCAAUCAGUCAGCCCUUGUUCAUCCCCGAGCAGAUGUGUGGUGGUAUUGUGGUGGACCUUUACUGGGCACUCUGCCAAAUAACUGGAGUGGCACUUGUACUUUAGUCCAAUUGGCUAUCCCUUUCACCCUGGCAUUUCAUCAACCAGAAGGAAAAAAAGAAAGACAUUGUAAAGCGAGAGAAGCCCCUUAUGGGUCUUUCGACUCUCAUGUCUAUUUAGAUGCAAUUGGAGUCCCACGAAGAAUACCAGAUCAAUUUAAAGCUUGAAAUCAAAUAGCUGCAGGAUUUAAGUCAAUAUUUUAGUGGGUGACAGUUAAUAAAAAUGUAGAUUAGAUAAACUACAUCUAUUACAACCAACAACAACGAGGUUUUCAUGAGUUAAAAGAAAACCUCAUGUUGGUCCCAGCCCUGAGGCUACCUGACCUGACAAAACUCUUUACACUCUAUGUGUCAGAAAGAGAAAAAAUGGCAGUUGGAGUUUUAACCCAUACUGUGAGGCCCUGGCCAAGGCCAGUGGCCUAUCUCUCAAAACAACUAGACAGGAUUUCCAAAGGCUGGCCCCCAGGUCUAAGGGCCCUAGCAGCAACAGCCCUGUUAGCACAAGAAGCAGAUAAACUAACCCUUAGGAAAACCUGAAUAUAAAGGCCCCCCAUGCUGUGGUAACUUUAAUGACUACCAAAGGACCUCAUUGGUUACAAAUGCUAGAUUAACCAAGUACCAAAGCUUGCUAUGUGAAAAUCCCCACAUAACCACUGAAGUUUGCAACACCCUAAACCCCACCACCUUGCUCCUGGUAUCAGAGAGCCUAGUUGAACAUACUGUGUAGAGGUGUUGGACUCAGUUUAUUCUAGCAGGCCCAACCUCCGAGACUAUCCUUAAACAUCAGUAGACUGUGAGGGGUACGUGGACGGGAGUAGCUUCGCCAACCCCUGCAAAGUGACUCUGAAGAAGACGACAAGCUCUGCUCCAGUCACACCCAGAAGCUGACUGGUCCACGCACGGCCGAAGCAUGAGAAAACUCAUUGCGGAACUCAUUUUCCUUAAAAUUUGGACUUUUACAGUAAGGACUUCAACUGACCUUCCUCAGACUGAGGACUGUUCCAGUGUAUACAUCAAGUCACUGAGGUAGGACAAAAGGUUGCUACAGUCCUAUUAUUUUAUGGUUAUUAUAAGUGUACUGGAACUCUAAAAAUAACUUGUUUGUAUAAUGUUAUUCUGUACAAGGUAUGUAGCCCAGGAAGUGACCAACCUGAUGUGUGUUAUGACCCAUCUGAGCCUCCCAUGACCACGGUUUUUAAAAUAAGAUUAAGGACUGAGGACUGGUGGGGGCUCAUAAAUGAUAUGAGUAAAGUGUUAGCCAAAACAGAAGAAAAAGGGGUGCCCAAACAAGUCACCUUAAAAUUUGAUGCCUGUGCUGUCAUUAAUAGUAAUAAGUUAGGAAUAAAGUGUGGUUCUCUUAAUUAGAAAAGAGGCUAUAUGGCAGAAAAUAAGUACAUCUGUCAUAAAUUAGGACUGUGUGGAAAUAAAUGUAAAUACUGGUCUUGUGUCAUUUAGGCCACUUGGAUUUAAAAAAAAUGAAAAGGAUCCAGUCCACCUUCAGAAAGGAAAAAAAUGGCCCUUCCUGUGCUAAGGGACAAUGUAACCCCUUAGAGCUAGUAAUAACCAAUCCCCUUGAUCCUCGCUGGAAAAAAGAGUAGCGUGUGACCUUAGGAAUCAAUGGGGCUGGACUGAAUCCCCGAGUAAAUAUCUUGGUUCGAGGAGAAGUUUACAAAUGCUCUCUUGAGCCAGUGUUUCAAACUUUCUAUGAUGAACUAAAUGUGCCAAUAACAGAAUUUCCAGGAAAAACAAGAAAUUUGUUUUUGCAAUUAGCCGAGCAUGUAGCCCAGUCUCUCACUGUCACUUCAUGUUAUGUAUGUGGAGGAACUGUAAUAGCAGAUCAAUGGCCAUGGGAAGCCCGAGAAUUAGUACCUACAGACCCAGUUCCUGAUGAAUUCCCAGCUCAAAAGAAUCACCCUGAUAAUUUCUGGGUCCUAAAAGCCUCAAUCAUUAGACAAUACUAUAUAGCAAGAGUGGAGAAGGACUUCACCCUUCCUGUAGGAAGACUACAUGGUGGAGUUCAAACCACACAGAGAAAAAUCCAUUCAGUAAAUUUCCAAAGUUGCAGACCGUUUAGGCCCACCCAGAAUCCCACCGGGACUGGACAGCCCCCACUGGGCUAUACUGGAUAUGUGGACAUAGAGCCUACACUAAGCUGCCUGACAAGUAGUUGUGUUAUUGGCACUAUUAAACCAUCUUUCUUCCUACUGUCCAUAAAAACAGGAGAACUCCUGGGCUUCCCUGUCUAUGCUUCCCGUGAAAAGCAUAGCUAUAAGAAAUUGAAACAAUGAUAAAUGGCCCCCUGAGAGAAUCAUACAGUAUUAUGGGCCUGCUACUUAGGCACAAGAUGGCUCGUGGGGAUACCGGAUCCCCAUUUAUAUGAUCAACUGAAUCAUACGGUUACAAGCUGUCUUAAAAAUAAUCACUGCAACCGGCAGAGCCUUGACUAUUCUGGCCCAGCAAGAAACUCAGAUGAGAAAUGCUAUCUAUCAAAAUAGAUUAGCUCUCGACUACUUGCUAGCAGCUGAAGGAGAGGUCUGUAGGAAAUUUAACCUUACUAAUUGCUGCCUACACAUAGAUAACCAAGGGCAAGUAGUUGAAGACAUAGUUAGAGAUAUGACAAAAGUGGCACAUGUGCCCGUGCAAGUGUGGCAUGGAUUUGAUCCUGGGGCCAUGUUUAGAAAAUGGUUCCCAGCGCUAGGAGGAUUUAAAACUCUUAUAAUAAGAGUUAUAAUAGUAAUAGGAACCUACUUACUGCUCCCUCGUUUGCUACCUGUACUUCUUCAAAUGAUAAAAAGCUUCAUCGCUACCUUAGUAUACCAAAAUGCAUCAGCACAAGUGUACUAUAUAAAUCACUAUUGAUCUGUCUAGCAAGAAGACAUGGGUAGUAAACAUGAAACAACUCCUGCUAUUGAGUGAGAGUCUCAAAGUGGGGGAAUAAGGGAGGAGACCACCCCUCAUAUUGUCUUAUGCCCAAUUUCUGCCUCCAAAGAAAGAAAAAGUAAAAACUAAAAGGCAGAAAUGAAAUCCACAAGCAGACAGCCCGGGCGCCACACCCUGGGACUGGUAGUUGAAAAUCAAUCCCGGACCUAAUCGGUUAUGUUAUCUAUAGAUUACAGACAUUGUAUAGAAAAGCAUUGUGAAAAUCUCAUUCCUGUUUUGUUCCAAUCUAAUUACUGGUGCGUGCAGCCCCCAGUCACGUACCCACGUACCUCCUGCUUGCUCAAUCGAUCACGACCCUCUCACGCACACCCCCUUAGACUUGUGAGUCCUUAAAAGGGACAGGAAUUGCUCACUCGGGGCGGGGGCUCGGCUCUUGAGACAGGAGUCUUGCUGAUGCCUCCGGCCUAAUAAACCCCUUCCUUCUUUAA